GCCCCCUUGGCCUAAUGGUUAAGGCGCAAGACUUCUAUUAGUGCUGGACUAAACCAGCGUCUAUCAGAGCGUAUCUUGAGAUUGCCAGUUCGAGUCUGGCAGGGGGCU